rnacentral:rRNA from 1 species
GCUAGCGUUGCUCGGAAUCACUGGGCGUAAAGCGCACGUAGGCGGCUUCUUAAGUCCGGGGUGAAAUCCUGGAGCUCAACUCCAGAACUGCCUUUGAUACUGGGAAGCUUGAGUCCGGAAGAGGUGAGUGGAACUCCGAGUGUAGAGGUGAAAUUCGUAGAUAUUCGGAAGAACACCAGUGGCGAAGGCGGCUCACUGGUCCGGUACUGACGCUGAGGUGCGAAAGCGUGGGGAGCAAACAGG